rfam:Clostridium tepidiprofundi DSM 19306 CLTE_contig000001, whole genome shotgun sequence.
UCCACCGUGAGGUGGAAUCUGAAAGAAGUUGGCGGCAAAACUCUGGUCUGACGAACAGGAACUACAUAUGAAGCAUAUGCUUGUGGGUAAGUUUGCAAAACAAAACAUUUCUUCCAUGCCCAAAGAAGGAAGAAACGGUGGAAAUGAAUAUGUUAGUGAAUUAUUUGAGCAAAUAUUAUCAAG